rnacentral:lncRNA from 1 species
GUUUGGCGUUGCAGCUGUGUGGGCGCUGGUGCGUGCGAGUAGCGCUCGAAGAAACCCAAAGGCGUCGUGGGGCUGCCGUGUGCCCCAGAGAGCACUGCAGGCCGGGUAGGGGCUAAGGCUCCCCGCAGUCUUCUGUGUGUCGUCCAGUACGCAGUUGAAAUCGUUCUCCAACCUGGCCAGUCCUCCGAGGCCCUUCUCAGGCGACCAGACUCUGUUAACAGAGUCCAUUGCUAAAACUCCUCGUUAGUAUUUACCACUCCUCCAGUCUGUGUUUUGAAGCAGUGGUUUUCAACCACUGCCCGUUUUCAGAAGAAAUCAUCUCAAGCGUCCGUGUGCUGCUAGAAGCCGGGCCGGGAGGUCUUGGUGCCGGACUCCACCCUGCAGCCCUUCCCUUUCGCCACCGCCCUGUGCUUAGAGAAACCUUAGAGUGGAGCAAUGAGUCGCCCUUGACUGAGUAACUCUUCGGGGUCAACUUCUCCUUCCACGCCAAGGAAAGGAUUCCAGGGCGAUGUUUCUGGAAAUAGAGAUCUGACCAAGCCACUGCUCUGGUGAAAAUUCAGUGGGUCCCUAGCACCUAGUGCAGCGGCUCCUAGCCUGAGUAUUGCCGUCUUUCGGUGGGGAGGGGUUGGGUUUUUUUGUAGCAUCUGUUGAUCUGAUCUCCAACAUCCUCCACGUCAAUUCCCACUCCACCCACAUCCCUUAUCCUAUACGUAAGCUUUCCAGCCACGGUGCUGGCUUGGGUGGGGGUGCGUGCGGUGCUGACACCAAAAUGGAGGUCCCGUGUUUCUGAGAGUCUCUUUCAGAGCAAUGCAAACCUGAAACUACUCCUGCCAAGAAACGAUUGCAGCUCUUCCCGGAAAAGUUAAAGCCUUUGAGAAACAAAGCUGAGGGCCUAGGGGAUGCCAAAUUCCAGGGUCCAGAAAGAGCUUGGGAUAAAAUGAACAUCCAAGGGGAGGGCUUUGACCUGGGCUGAGUCUGCCUGUGCCGAGUCUGCCUGUGCCAUCCAACUGGAGUCUCAAGUCCUGAGGCAGGACGUCCAGAUGCCCCAGUGCAGGGUCCUCCUGAUCAACACCUGCUCCCCUGUACUCAUUAGCAACCUCACCCACCCUACUCUCAAAGCACACUUGGCUCUCAUAUCCAGGAGCUCUGCAUCUGUAGAUUCAGCAACAGCAGAUGGAAAAUAUUCAGAAAAUAAAUUGGACAGUUAUAUUUCUAUUGAACAUGUGCAGACUUUGUUCUUGUCAUUAUUCCCUAAAGAAUACAGUAUCACGACCAUUUAUGUAGCAUCUGCAUUGUAUUACACAUCCUGAAUAAUCUAGAGAUGGUCUAAUGUCUACAGGAGGAUGUGCAUAGCUGAUAUGUAAAUACUAGGCCAUGUUAUGUCAGAGACUUGAGGAUCCAUGGAUUUUGUCAUCCCCGGGGACCCUAGAACUAAUCCAUGGAUACCAAGGGAUGACUGUAGAAACUCACUCAGGAAGGCUUCUCAUUGGAGGAAGGGCCCAGUUCAGGACACACAGGGACAUCUCCCUGGACUACUGUCCAUUCAUCCAUCCAUUCAUCCAUUGUCUCCCCCCACCCCCCCAUCUCGGACUGUCCCAAUGACAGCCCUAGCAAGAAGAGACAAGCAACAAGAUAAGUUCACGUUGUCCAGUUUUGAGGUAUUGGAAGAAGUUGCACCGGUAUGAGAAUAGUGGGUCAGUUUUCUACAGGAUCCAGAAAGCAUAUCGGGCAGCCUCGGGGUGCGGAAAGGAGCCUGGCCUCUCCAGCAGCCACACAGGCCUGCAGUAGGAUGGGGCUGGGGCUGGCCAUGUGGAUCACUUGGGCCUCAUGAGGGGAAAGGAAAUACCAGGGGGCAGAAGAGGAGCAUGGGGGCAGCUGGUUGCCUAAGGGGAAGGCACCUCAGGGAAGGGGACUGUAUUCAUUUGUUUUCACACUGAUGUAAAGAAAUACCUGAGAUUGGGUAAUUUAUAAAGGAAACAGGCUUAAUUGACUUGCAGUUCCGGAAACUUACAAUCAUGGCAGAAGGGGAAGGGGAAGCAGGCACCUUCUUCACAAGACGGCAGGAGGGAGUGAGUGGAGAACCAGUAAGUGCCACACUUUGAAACUAUCAGCUCUCCUGAGAACUACCUCACUAUCCGGGGAGCAGCACGGGG